UUUAGGGAGACCCAAAUCAAUUCAAAAGAAUUCAUAAUUUUGAAUUGAUGUAUCCCUCGGUCGGUCGAGGAAAAGCUGUUGGCUUUCAAACUAUGAUUGGUUCGCUCCAAGUCGCACUAAGACAACCGAACAACAAAGUACGGUUGUGAGUAGGCAAACAGUCAAAUAGAUUGUUACACUCAAAAAUGGCGACUGCAAGUAUUGCUUUUUAGCAAUACGUGACUCAAGAAAUAGAUCCAGCAAUAUUGCUUGAAACAGCAAGACUGCUGGGUGUUAUCCAGCCAGAACCUUGAAAACUGCAUAGUAACGCGAAGCAGGUAGACACAGACAUACUAUGAUUGCAUGGAUGAAAGUGUUUGCUUAUAUAGAUAUCACCAAUUGUGAAGU
rnacentral:misc_RNA from 1 species